rnacentral:rRNA from 1 species
GGUUAAGCGACUAAGCGUACACGGUGGAUGCCCUGGCAGUCAGAGGCGAUGAAGGACGUGCUAAUCUGCGAUAAGCGUCGGUAAGGUGAUAUGAACCGUUAUAACCGGCGAUUUCCGAAUGGGGAAACCCAGUGUGUUUCGACACACUAUCAUUAACUGAAUCCAUAGGUUAAUGAGGCGAACCGGGGGAACUGAAACAUCUAAGUACCCCGAGGAAAAGAAAUCAACCGAGAUUCCCCCAGUAGCGGCGAGCGAACGGGGAGCAGCCCAGAGCCUGAAUCAGUGUGUGUGUUAGUGGAAGCGUCUGGAAAGGCGCGCGAUACAGGGUGACAGCCCCGUACACAAAAAUGCACAUGCUGUGAGCUCGAUGAGUAGGGCGGGACACGUGGUAUCCUGUCUGAAUAUGGGGGGACCAUCCUCCAAGGCUAAAUACUCCUGACUGACCGAUAGUGAACCAGUACCGUGAGGGAAAGGCGAAAAGAACCCCGGCGAGGGGAGUGAAAAAGAACCUGAAACCGUGUACGUACAAGCAGUGGGAGCACGCUUAGGCGUGUGACUGCGUACCUUUUGUAUAAUGGGUCAGCGACUUAUAUUCUGUAGCAAGGUUAACCGAAUAGGGGAGCCGAAGGGAAACCGAGUCUUAACUGGGCGUUAAGUUGCAGGGUAUAGACCCGAAACCCGGUGAUCUAGCCAUGGGCAGGUUGAAGGUUGGGUAACACUAACUGGAGGACCGAACCGACUAAUGUUGAAAAAUUAGCGGAUGACUUGUGGCUGGGGGUGAAAGGCCAAUCAAACCGGGAGAUAGCUGGUUCUCCCCGAAAGCUAUUUAGGUAGCGCCUCGUGAAUUCAUCUCCGGGGGUAGAGCACUGUUUCGGCAAGGGGGUCAUCCCGACUUACCAACCCGAUGCAAACUGCGAAUACCGGAGAAUGUUAUCACGGGAGACACACGGCGGGUGCUAACGUCCGUCGUGAAGAGGGAAACAACCCAGACCGCCAGCUAAGGUCCCAAAGUCAUGGUUAAGUGGGAAACGAUGUGGGAAGGCCCAGACAGCCAGGAUGUUGGCUUAGAAGCAGCCAUCAUUUAAAGAAAGCGUAAUAGCUCACUGGUCGAGUCGGCCUGCGCGGAAGAUGUAACGGGGCUAAACCAUGCACCGAAGCUGCGGCAGCGACGCUUAUGCGUUGUUGGGUAGGGGAGCGUUCUGUAAGCCUGCGAAGGUGUGCUGUGAGGCAUGCUGGAGGUAUCAGAAGUGCGAAUGCUGACAUAAGUAACGAUAAAGCGGGUGAAAAGCCCGCUCGCCGGAAGACCAAGGGUUCCUGUCCAACGUUAAUCGGGGCAGGGUGAGUCGACCCCUAAGGCGAGGCCGAAAGGCGUAGUCGAUGGGAAACAGGUUAAUAUUCCUGUACUUGGUGUUACUGCGAAGGGGGGACGGAGAAGGCUAUGUUGGCCGGGCGACGGUUGUCCCGGUUUAAGCGUGUAGGCUGGUUUUCCAGGCAAAUCCGGAAAAUCAAGGCUGAGGCGUGAUGACGAGGUACUACGGUGCUGAAGCAACAAAUGCCCUGCUUCCAGGAAAAGCCUCUAAGCAUCAGGUAACAUCAAAUCGUACCCCAAACCGACACAGGUGGUCAGGUAGAGAAUACCAAGGCGCUUGAGAGAACUCGGGUGAAGGAACUAGGCAAAAUGGUGCCGUAACUUCGGGAGAAGGCACGCUGAUAUGUAGGUGAAGUCCCUUGCGGAUGGAGCUGAAAUCAGUCGAAGAUACCAGCUGGCUGCAACUGUUUAUUAAAAACACAGCACUGUGCAAACACGAAAGUGGACGUAUACGGUGUGACGCCUGCCCGGUGCCGGAAGGUUAAUUGAUGGGGUUAGCGGUAACGCGAAGCUCUUGAUCGAAGCCCCGGUAAACGGCGGCCGUAACUAUAACGGUCCUAAGGUAGCGAAAUUCCUUGUCGGGUAAGUUCCGACCUGCACGAAUGGCGUAAUGAUGGCCAGGCUGUCUCCACCCGAGACUCAGUGAAAUUGAACUCGCUGUGAAGAUGCAGUGUACCCGCGGCAAGACGGAAAGACCCCGUGAACCUUUACUAUAGCUUGACACUGAACAUUGAGCCUUGAUGUGUAGGAUAGGUGGGAGGCUUUGAAGUGUGGACGCCAGUCUGCAUGGAGCCGACCUUGAAAUACCACCCUUUAAUGUUU